AGAUCUUUAGCUGUAAGUCUUCCUGCAACAUACAGAACUUCUUCAGCAAUGGGUCUCCACUGCUCAGCACAUGAAAAAUUAAUUCCCAGACCAACACUAAGUCCUCUCAGGAUGUGCACUGUACGGAGAAUAGAAAACAAUUCCUCUGGAAAAGCCUUAACAGCAAUCUUUUUUAUUGAAGAUUCUUCUGCGAAAGGUUGCAGCAUCGUAACUCCAGGCGGUAAUUUUGUGUCAAACAUUGUUUGUGCCAGCCUAAGCAAUUCAUUUUGUUCAUCCUCGCAUUUGCUCAAGGUCUCGAUACCAAGAUCCCUGUAGCUCUCUGAUGCCUUUAAUGGGUCGUUAUCGGCAAUUGCAAGAACCAACCUAGCAUAUCCAAG
rnacentral:misc_RNA from 1 species